AUUGAACGCUGGCGGCAUGCUUUACACAUACAAGUCGAACGGUAACAGGGUGCUUACACCGCUGACGAGUGGCGAACGGGUGAGUAAUGCGUCGGAACGUGCCGAGUAGUGGGGGAUAACGCAUCGAAAGGUGUGCUAAUACCGCAUACGUACUGAGGUAGAAAGUGGGGGACCUUCGGGCCUCACGCUAUUCGAGCGGCCGACGUCUGAUUAGCUAGUUGGUGAGGUAAAGGCUCACCAAGGCGACGAUCAGUAGCGGGUCUGAGAGGAUGAUCCGCCACACUGGGACUGAGACACGGCCCAGACUCCUACGGGAGGCAGCAGUGGGGAAUUUUGGACAAUGGGCGAAAGCCUGAUCCAGCAACUCUGCGUGAGGGACGAAGGUCUUCGGAUUGUAAACCUCUUUUACUUGGGAAGAAAUCCCGCAAGGGUCUGACGGUACCAAGUGAAUAAGCAACGGCUAACUAUGUGCCAGCCGCCGCGGUAAUAC
rnacentral:rRNA from 1 species